AUUGAACGCUGGCGGCAUGCCUUACACAUGCAAGUCGAACGGCAGCACGGGUGCUUGCACCUGGUGGCGAGUGGCGAACGGGUGAGUAAUAUAUCGGAACGUACCUUAUUGUGGGGGAUAACGCAGCGAAAGCUGUGCUAAUACCGCAUAAUCCCUUAGGGGGAAAGCGGGGGACCGUAAGGCCUCGCGCAAUUAGAGCGGCCGAUACCUGAUUAGCUAGUUGGUGAGGUAAAGGCUCACCAAGGCGACGAACAGUAGCUGGUCUGAGAGGACGAUCACGCACACUGGGACUGAGACACGGCCCAGACUCCUACGGGAGGCAGCAGUGGGGAAUUUUGGACAAUGGGGGAAACCCUGAUCCAGCAAUGCCGCGUGAGUGAAGAAAGCCUUCGGGUUGUAAAGCUCUUUUGUCAGGGAAGAAACAGCAGCUCUAACACAGUAUGCGAAUGACGGUACCUGAAGAAUAAGCACCGGCUAACUACGUGCCAGCAGCCGCGGUAA
rnacentral:rRNA from 1 species